rnacentral:tRNA from 1 species
GCCCUCGUAGUUGAACGGAUACAACAAGGGAUUCCUAAUCCCUAGGUCUGGGUUCGAUUCCCGGCGAGGGCACCA